AGAACGAACGCUGGCGGCAGGCUUAACACAUGCAAGUCGAGCGCGUGUAGCAAUACACGAGCGGCGCACGGGUGAGUAACGCGUGGAUAUCUGCCUUUUGGUUCGGAAUAACCCCGGGAAACUUGGGCUAAUACCGGAUGGUUCCUACGGGAUAAAGAUUUAUCGCCAAAAGAUGAGUCCGCGUCCGAUUAGCUAGUUGGUGAGGUAACGGCUCACCAAGGCGACGAUCGGUAGCUGGUCUGAGAGGACGAUCAGCCACACUGGGACUGAGACACGGCCCAGACUCCUACGGGAGGCAGCAGUGGGGAAUAUUGGACAAUGGGGGCAACCCUGAUCCAGCCAUGCCGCGUGAGUGAUGAAGGCCUUCGGGUUGUAAAGCUCUUUCAGUAUCGACGAAGCGCAAGUGACGGUAGGUACAGAAGAAGCACCGGCCAACUACGUGCCAGCAGCCGC
rnacentral:rRNA from 1 species